UUAAGCGACUAAGCGUACACGGUGGAUGCCCUGGCAGUCAGAGGCGAUGAAGGACGUGCUAAUCUGCGAUAAGCGUCGGUAAGGUGAUAUGAACCGUUAUAACCGGCGAUUUCCGAAUGGGGAAACCCAGUGUGAUUCGUCACACUAUCAUUAACUGAAUCCAUAGGUUAAUGAGGCGAACCGGGGGAACUGAAACAUCUAAGUACCCCGAGGAAAAGAAAUCAACCGAGAUUCCCCCAGUAGCGGCGAGCGAACGGGGAGCAGCCCAGAGCCUGAAUCAGUGUGUGUGUUAGUGGAAGCGUCUGGAAAGGCGCGCGAUACAGGGUGACAGCCCCGUACACAAAAAUGCACAUGCUGUGAGCUCGAUGAGUAGGGCGGGACACGUGGUAUCCUGUCUGAAUAUGGGGGGACCAUCCUCCAAGGCUAAAUACUCCUGACUGACCGAUAGUGAACCAGUACCGUGAGGGAAAGGCGAAAAGAACCCCGGCGAGGGGAGUGAAAAAGAACCUGAAACCGUGUACGUACAAGCAGUGGGAGCACAGAGCAAUCUGUGUGACUGCGUACCUUUUGUAUAAUGGGUCAGCGACUUAUAUUCUGUAGCAAGGUUAACCGAAUAGGGGAGCCGAAGGGAAACCGAGUCUUAACUGGGCGUUAAGUUGCAGGGUAUAGACCCGAAACCCGGUGAUCUAGCCAUGGGCAGGUUGAAGGUUGGGUAACACUAACUGGAGGACCGAACCGACUAAUGUUGAAAAAUUAGCGGAUGACUUGUGGCUGGGGGUGAAAGGCCAAUCAAACCGGGAGAUAGCUGGUUCUCCCCGAAAGCUAUUUAGGUAGCGCCUCGUGAAUUCAUCUCCGGGGGUAGAGCACUGUUUCGGCAAGGGGGUCAUCCCGACUUACCAACCCGAUGCAAACUACGAAUACCGGAGAAUGUUAUCACGGGAGACACACGGCGGGUGCUAACGUCCGUCGUGAAGAGGGAAACAACCCAGACCGCCAGCUAAGGUCCCAAAGUCAUGGUUAAGUGGGAAACGAUGUGGGAAGGCCCAGACAGCCAGGAUGUUGGCUUAGAAGCAGCCAUCAUUUAAAGAAAGCGUAAUAGCUCACUGGUCGAGUCGGCCUGCGCGGAAGAUGUAACGGGGCUAAACCAUGCACCGAAGCUGCGGCAGCGACGCUUAUGCGUUGUUGGGUAGGGGAGCGUUCUGUAAGCCUGUGAAGGUGUACUGUGAGGUAUGCUGGAGGUAUCAGAAGUGCGAAUGCUGACAUAAGUAACGAUAAAGCGGGUGAAAAGCCCGCUCGCCGGAAGACCAAGGGUUCCUGUCCAACGUUAAUCGGGGCAGGGUGAGUCGACCCCUAAGGCGAGGCCGAAAGGCGUAGUCGAUGGGAAACAGGUUAAUAUUCCUGUACUUGGUGUUACUGCGAAGGGGGGACGGAGAAGGCUAUGUUGGCCGGGCGACGGUUGUCCCGGUUUAAGCGUGUAGGCUGGUUUUCCAGGCAAAUCCGGAAAAUCAAGGCUGAGGCGUGAUGACGAGGCACUACGGUGCUGAAGCAACAAAUGCCCUGCUUCCAGGAAAAGCCUCUAAGCAUCAGGUAACAUCAAAUCGUACCCCAAACCGACACAGGUGGUCAGGUAGAGAAUACCAAGGCGCUUGAGAGAACUCGGGUGAAGGAACUAGGCAAAAUGGUGCCGUAACUUCGGGAGAAGGCACGCUGAUAUGUAGGUGAAGUCCCUCGCGGAUGGAGCUGAAAUCAGUCGAAGAUACCAGCUGGCUGCAACUGUUUAUUAAAAACACAGCACUGUGCAAACACGAAAGUGGACGUAUACGGUGUGACGCCUGCCCGGUGCCGGAAGGUUAAUUGAUGGGGUUAGCGCAAGCGAAGCUCUUGAUCGAAGCCCCGGUAAACGGCGGCCGUAACUAUAACGGUCCUAAGGUAGCGAAAUUCCUUGUCGGGUAAGUUCCGACCUGCACGAAUGGCGUAAUGAUGGCCAGGCUGUCUCCACCCGAGACUCAGUGAAAUUGAACUCGCUGUGAAGAUGCAGUGUACCCGCGGCAAGACGGAAAGACCCCGUGAACCUUUACUAUAGCUUGACACUGAACAUUGAGCCUUGAUGUGUAGGAUAGGUGGGAGGCUUUGAAGUGUGGACGCCAGUCUGCAUGGAGCCGACCUUGAAAUACCACCCUUUAAUGUUUGAUGUUCUAACGUUGACCCGUAAUCCGGGUUGCGGACAGUGUCUGGUGGGUAGUUUGACUGGGGCGGUCUCCUCCUAAAGAGUAACGGAGGAGCACGAAGGUUGGCUAAUCCUGGUCGGACAUCAGGAGGUUAGUGCAAUGGCAUAAGCCAGCUUGACUGCGAGCGUGACGGCGCGAGCAGGUGCGAAAGCAGGUCAUAGUGAUCCGGUGGUUCUGAAUGGAAGGGCCAUCGCUCAACGGAUAAAAGGUACUCCGGGGAUAACAGGCUGAUACCGCCCAAGAGUUCAUAUCGACGGCGGUGUUUGGCACCUCGAUGUCGGCUCAUCACAUCCUGGGGCUGAAGUAGGUCCCAAGGGUAUGGCUGUUCGCCAUUUAAAGUGGUACGCGAGCUGGGUUUAGAACGUCGUGAGACAGUUCGGUCCCUAUCUGCCGUGGGCGCUGGAGAAUUGAGGGGGGCUGCUCCUAGUACGAGAGGACCGGAGUGGACGCAUCACUGGUGUUCGGGUUGUCAUGCCAAUGGCACUGCCCGGUAGCUAAAUGCGGAAGAGAUAAGUGCUGAAAGCAUCUAAGCACGAAACUUGUCCCGAGAUGAGUUCUCCCUGACUCCUUGAGAGUCCUGAAGGAACGUUGAAGACGACGACGUUGAUAGGCCGGGUGUGUAAGCGCAGCGAUGCGUUGAGCUAACCGGUACUAAUGAACCGUGAGGCUUAACCU
rnacentral:rRNA from 1 species